UACACAUCAUUUGGCACACAGAAAUAUGUGGGCCCUAUUAAAGUGACAGUGCAAGAACUGGAUGGGUCAUUUAACCACACAUAACAGAUAGAGGAGAACAGUCUCAAACAUGACAUUCCCUGCCACUCCAAAAGCAGAAGGAACAACAAGAAGAAAAUCCCUCUGAUGAAUGGAGAGGAAGUUGACAUGGACUUGUCAGUCAUGGAGUAUGCUGUUUUUGUGUUUUAUGAUUUUAUACUGUACAUACAGAUCAAUGAAUGUUCCAACUUUUAAGUGCACAACACUUAGGAAUUACAGGCAUAUUUGAGUAACAGCACUCUUAACUUCUUGCUACAUGUAAACCUGCACAUACACUUAGUUUUUAACCCUCUGGAGUCGAUCCGUGUUAAGGCAUUUUCUCCUGAUAACUCCGAAAAUAACUUAAAUUACACUUUCAGUUUUGA